UACGUAGGGUGCGAGCGUUGUCCGGAAUUACUGGGCGUAAAGAGCUCGUAGGCGGUGUGUCACGUCGGCCGUGAAAACCUGCAGCUUAACUGUGGGCGUGCGGUCGAUACGGGCAUCACUGGAGUUCGGCAGGGGAGACUGGAAUUCAUGGUGUAGCAGUGAAAUGCGUAGAGAUCAUGAGGAAGACCAGUGGCGAAGGCGGGUCUCUGGACAGUUCCUGACACUGAGGCACGAAGGCCAGGGGAGCAAACGGG
rnacentral:rRNA from 1 species